GCCGAUGUAGCUCAACGGUAGAGCACGGCUUUCGUAAAGCCGAGGUUGUGGGUUCAAGUCCCGUCAUCGGCU
rnacentral:tRNA from 1 species